rnacentral:rRNA from 1 species
GCAAGUCGAACGAGAUCCUUCGGGGUCUAGUGGCGCACGGGUGCGUAACGCGUGGGAAUCUGCCCUUAGGUUCGGAAUAACAGUUAGAAAUGACUGCUAAUACCGGAUGAUGACGUUAAGUCCAAAGAUUUAUCGCCUGAGGAUGAGCCCGCGUAGGAUUAGCUAGUUGGUGUGGUAAAGGCGCACCAAGGCGACGAUCCUUAGCUGGUCUGAGAGGAUGAUCAGCCACACUGGGACUGAGACACGGCCCAGACUCCUACGGGAGGCAGCAGUGGGGAAUAUUGGACAAUGGGCGCAAGCCUGAUCCAGCAAUGCCGCGUGAGUGAUGAAGGCCUUAGGGUUGUAAAGCUCUUUUACCCGGGAUGAUAAUGACAGUACCGGGAGAAUAAGCCCCGGCUAACUCCGUGCCAGCAGCCGCGGUAAUACGGAGGGGGCUAGCGUUGUUCGGAAUUACUGGGCGUAAAGCGCACGUAGGCGGCUUUGUAAGUUAGAGGUGAAAGCCUGGAGCUCAACUCCAGAACUGCCUUUAAGACUGCAUCGCUUGAAUCCAGGAGAGGUGAGUGGAAUUCCGAGUGUAGAGGUGAAAUUCGUAGAUAUUCGGAAGAACACCAGUGGCGAAGGCGGCUCACU